rnacentral:rRNA from 1 species
AGCGAACGCUGGCGGCAGGCCUAACACAUGCAAGUCGAACGAACCUUUCGGGGUUAGUGGCGGACGGGUGAGUAAUACGUGGGAACGUGCCUUUAGGUUCGGAAUAACUCAGGGAAACUUGUGCUAAUACCGAAUGUGCCCUUCGGGGGAAAGAUUAAUCGCCUUUAGAGCGGCCCGCGUCUGAUUAGCUAGUUGGUUGAGGUAAUGGCUCACCAAGGCGACGAUCAGUAGCUGGUCUGAGAGGAUGAUCAGCCACAUUGGGACUGAGACACGGCCCAAACUCCUACGGGAGGCAGCAGUGGGGAAUCUUGCGCAAUGGGCGAAAGCCUGACGCAGCCAUGCCGCGUGAAUGAUGAAGGUCUUAGGAUUGUAAAAUUCUUUCACCGGGGACGAUAAUGACGGUACCCGGAGAAGAAGCCCCGGCUAACUUCGUG